rnacentral:misc_RNA from 1 species
UACGUAGACCCCGAGCGUUAUCCGGAUUUAUUGGGCGUAAAGCGUGGGUAGGGGGUCUGAUAAGUCGGUGGUUAAAUCAGGGGGCUUAACCUUCUGGCCGCUAUCGAUACUGUCAGACUAGAGGAUGUUAGAGGCAUGCAGAACGCACGGUGUAGGGGUGAAAUCCGUUGAUAUCGUGCGGAAUACCAAAGGCGAAGGCAGCAUGCUGGGGCAUUCCUGACCCUGAGCCACGAAAGCGUGGGGAGCAAAAAGG